rnacentral:rRNA from 1 species
UACAGAGGUCUCAAGCGUUGUUCGGAUUCAUUGGGCGUAAAGGGUGCGUAGGCGGCGCGGUAAGUCGGGUGUGAAAUCUCGGGGCUUAACUCCGAAACUGCAUUCGAUACUGCUGUGCUUGAGGACUGGAGAGGAGACUGGAAUUUACGGUGUAGCGGUGAAAUGCGUAGAUAUCGUAAGGAAGACCAGUGGCGAAGGCGGGUCUCUGGACAGUUCCUGACACUGAGACACGAAGGCCAGGGGAGCAAACGGG